rnacentral:ncRNA from 1 species
GCAGAGUAGAACCAUGUGCGUCAAGUGCCUUCCGGACGGGGAGUUGCCGGAGGGACGAAAGGGUGUUUCCCCUGCGGUACAUGGAUCGCAUCCCGCUGC